GUUUCCGUGGUGUAGCGGUUAUCACGUCUGCUUCACACGCAGAAGGCCUCCGGUUCGAUCCCGGGCGGAAACA
rnacentral:tRNA from 3 species